AAUAUUGGACAAUGGGCGAAAGCCUGAUCCAGCCAUGCCGCGUGUGAAGAAGGUCUUCGGAUUGUACAGCACUUUAAGAUGGGAGGAAGGGCAGUAAGUUAAUACCUUGCAGUUUUGACGUUACCGUCCGAAUAAGCACCGGCUAACUUCGUGCCAGCAGCCGCGGUAAUCCGAAGAGUACAAGCGUUAAUCGGAAUUACUGGGAGUAAAGCGCGCAUAGGUCGUUUUUAAAGUUAUAAGUGAAAGCCCCGGGCACAACCUGGGAUCUGCUUUCAAAUCUGGCAAGAUAGAGUAUGGCAGGGGGUGGUGGAAUUUCCUGUGUAGCGGUGAAAUGCGUAGAUAUGGAAAGGAACAACAGUGGCGAAGGCGACCACCUAGGAUAAUACUGACACUGAGGUGCGAAAGCGUGGGGAGCAA
rnacentral:rRNA from 1 species